rnacentral:rRNA from 1 species
CCCUUAGAUGUUCUGGGCUGCACGCGUGCUACACUGAUAUUGCCAAUAUGUCAUUCUUAUCCGAAAUGGAUUGGGUAAUCAAGUAAUGAAAUUUCAUGCUUGGAAUCGGUAAUUGCAAUUUUAUCGUGAACGAGGAAUUCCUAGUAAGCACUAGUCAUCAGCUAAUGUUGAUUAUGUCCCUGCCCUUUGUACACACCGCCCGCCGCUACUACUGAUUGGGUGUUCAAGUGAGAUGCUUAGACCCUUGUUGCAUGGUUCAUUAUUGUGCUCCGAAAGGAAAAAGUUUCAAGCUUGAGUGUCUAGAGGAAGUAAAAGUCGUAACA